UAUGGUUUAUUAGAUCGUGCGUUCUACGUGGAUAACUGUGGUAAUUCUAGAGCUAAUACAUGCAACUGGCCCUAACUUUACGGAGGGGCGCUUUUAUUAGAUCAAAAUCAAUCAGGUUUCGGCCUGUUUUUGUGAUGACUCUGGAUAACUUUGUGCCGACCGCAUGGCCUUGCGCCGGCGGCGUAUCUUUCAAAUGUCUGCCCUAUCAACUUUCGAUGGUAGGUGACAUGCCUACCAUGGUUGUAACGGGUAACGGAGAAUCAGGGUUCGAUUCAGGAGAGGGAGCCUGAGAAACGGCUACCACA
rnacentral:rRNA from 1 species